rnacentral:rRNA from 1 species
GUCUACAUGGGUAUAAUAUUAAAUGUAGUCCAGCCUGCCCACUGAAUAUAAAUUUUAAAGGGCCGCGGUACACUGACCGUGCUAAGGUAGCAUAAUCAAUAGUCUUUUAAUUGGAGACUGGAAUGAACGGCUAGAUAAAAAGUUUACUGUCUAUAUAAUAAAUCUUGAAUUUUACUUUUAAGUGAAAAGGCUUAAAUAUAUUAAAGUGACGAUAAGACCCUAUAAAACUUUAUAAUAAAUUAUGAUUAUCUUAAAUUUUAAAUCAAAAUAUAUUUCAUAUAUUACUAUUUAGUUGGGGCGACUGAGAUAUAAAAAAUCUGUCUUUAGUAAAAAAUACUUAUAAUUAGAUCAAGAUCCUUUAUUAAGGAUUAAAAGGCUAAGUUACUUUAGGGAUAACAGCGUGAUUUUUCUUAAGAGUUCUUAUCGACAGAAUAAGUUGCGACC